rnacentral:snoRNA from 1 species
GGGGAUGAUGACCCUUACGGGAGCUGAGAGGUGAUGAAACUGGGUAGGUCUGACCG